UNCAUGUUAAGAAUUCAGAAAUAAAGGUGUCA
rnacentral:piRNA from 1 species